UAGGGAAUCUUCGGCAAUGGACGGAAGUCUGACCGAGCAACGCCGCGUGAGUGAAGAAGGCUUUCGGAUCGUAAAGCUCUGUUGUUAGAGAAGAACGUUGGUAGGAGUGGAAAAUCUACCAAGUGACGGUAACUAACCAGAAAGGGACGGCUAACUACGUGCCAGCAGCCGCGGUAAUACGUAGGUCCCGAGCGUUGUCCGGAUUUAUUGGGCGUAAAGCGAGCGCAGGCGGUUCUUUAAGUGUGAAGUUAAAGGCAGUGGCUUAACCAAUGUACGCUUUGGAAACUGGAGGACUUGAGUGCAGAAGGGGAGAGUGGAAAUCCAUGUGUAACGGUGAAAUGCGUAGAUAUAUGGAGGAACACCGGUGGCGAAAGCGGCUCUCUGGUAUGUAACUGACGCUGAGGCUCGAAAGCGUGGGGAGCAAACAGG
rnacentral:rRNA from 1 species